GCACGAGUUCUUCACUGUCCCGAUCUAAAUCCUCAUCCAAUCGACUCAUCUGUUGCCCCUAGUACAUGCAUGACCCCAUAUAAAUACUCCCUGUGUCCUCUUGUUCGAGUUUUGCCAAAAUCACCAUCGCCCUUGCCCUAUCAAGUCGUCCCGAUCUCGCCGAAGUUCGGCCGCCAUAGAAGCUUUCCGCCGGUCAAACUCGUCACCUGCAGAAGGGGAGCAGCGUAGCGACCGCAUCAACCUCGACCAGAGCCAGUUUCCAAUGCCACCGCUCCAGCCGGUCACUGUCGCCACCGGAGCAAGCUCCAAUUGUGUCGGAGGUCACCCACUUCAUCUCCAUCGCGCUCUCCACUCGUAGGUCAUAUCUUUGUAGCCGGAGGCCCUCUGUAGCCGUCGCCCGCAUCACCACCGAGCCGCCGGCGCCGUCCUUCUCCAACUCCGACGACGCCCCGCUCUGUUCUCAGAUUGUCCGGAGUGCGAAGCAGGUCGGAAUUAAUCGUUAGAGUACUUCAACGGCGUUCAAGGCAAGUUUGCACUUUUGAUUUUUCUCAUCCUAUAUUCUGCUAUGCGUGUGUGGUUUUAUGCUAUGAUAUAUGAUUGGCCUGAUAUGUGCAUGUUGUUAUGUUUUGGUAUUGAUUGUAUUAUGUGUUGGUGUGAUCAACUUGCUAUGUUAGAAGUGGGCAUGUGUGAAGUGAUCCGUGGAAGUGGUGAGUGUUAUAGCCGUAGGCUCGGGAUUAUUAACCAGGUGAAUGCGUCACUGGCAGAGCGCUCUAUUGUCCCUAGAGAAUGCGCCAUUGACAGAGCGCACUUGAGGCGAGGUAUAGUUUUCGGAACAUAAAUCAGGUGGAUGCGUCCUUGGCAGAGCGCUCUAUUGUUCCUAGAGAAUGCGCCAUUGACAGAGCGCACUUGCGAUACUUCUAAAGUUCUUGUCAUGUUUACUUAGAAUCUUUGGGUUAUCUUGGGCGAGUAAAUUAGAGACGGUUGUGAGUUCAGGUAGUGGAGGUAGGUGAAGACAUUCUUCUAUAAACUAACUUGUGUGUGUUUUGUUUGUCAUACAUUGCUUUGUGGAUGUAGGUUUGCUAUAUCAUAUUGUGUGAUUUGCCAAUACAUUCAAUGUAUUGACCCUUUGUGGCUGCAACUUAUCAUGUUGCGGGAUUUUCAGAUGAUCAAUGAGAUAUAAUAGGGUCGCGAGUCUUCACUCAACAUGUUCUCCAGUGGGCAUUGACGGGACUCAUCGUUUGCUUAUGCUACAUUUCCGCUGUUAUUAUUGAAUAUAGUUAGCCAUGUGCUACUCAGUGUAAUACUUUAUGAAUUCUGGAUCAUACGUUAUAGUAAAUGAUGCACUUGUUAUUUGAUAUUCAUAUGUACUGUGUGUGCUAGCGAGUCGAUCCAGGGACUAGCACUGUAAGCACAGAGACAUCGAAUCUUAUCAGGUUCGGGUCGUUACAUGGUCCAGAUUUGAGAGACAGAGAGAGAGAGACGAGCGAGGGGAGGAUGUAGAUGAGAAUGCAGGUGGGACGGCGUGAGCAAUGUAGUAUUUAUUGGCGGCCAAAAUCUAGACCGACGAGAACAGUACACAAGCCGAUAGCAGGAAUUUACGGGUAUUGUAGUUUGAAUUACACACAAUUCCCGUAGCAAAAGUCAUGUGUGAACUUAAUAGCUGAUGGUUUCCAAUACAUAACCGUGUCUGAUUAAUAAUUCGUGCCACUCACCUUCCAAAC